rnacentral:lncRNA from 1 species
GGGCAGGUCCCUGCUCCGACCUGUGGUGCUUGCAGUCACCGUCUGGGGAGGGACUGCAAAACCACACAGACAGUACGACAGACGGUGCACCAUGAGGAGAAGGUCUGGCUUCCAUGAACAUGUGCCACAGCGGGAGCAAAGUAAAUGAGAUUGGAGGGGGCCAGGAGGAAAUGACAUUGAAGCUCAGAGGAAGAGAAUUUAACCAGGACUGGACUGUCUUCCGGGGGCGAUCAGAGCAAAGGCGCUAAGAUGACAGGAGCCACUAUGCGUCUGAAGAAGCCAGAGAGAGGGCUUCCCUGUGUUGCUCAGGCUGGUCUCAAACUCCUGGACUCAAGUGAUCCUUCUGCCUUGACCUACCAAAGUGCUGGGAUAAGAGGCCCCAGAUGCUUUAAACUGACAGGUA